GACGAACGCUGGCAGCGUGCUUAACACAUGCAAGUCGAACGAAAGGAAGAGAAAAGCUUGCUUUUUUUGAAUUGAGUGGCAAACGGGUGAGUAACACGUAAACAACCUGCCUUCAGGAUGGGGACAACAGACGGAAACGACUGCUAAUACCGAAUACGUUCCACAGAGCGCAUGCUUUAUGGAAGAAAGGGUGGCCUCUACCUGUAAGCUAUCGCCUGAAGAGGGGUUUGCGUCUGAUUAGGCAGUUGGCGGGGUAACGGCCCACCAAACCGACGAUCAGUAGCCGGUCUGAGAGGAUGAACGGCCACACUGGAACUGAGACACGGUCCAGACUCCUACGGGAGGCAGCAGUGGGGAAUCUUCCGCAAUGGGCGAAAGCCUGACGGAGCAACGCCGCGUGAGUGAAGACGGCCUUCGGGUUGUAAAGCUCUGUGAUCCGGGACGAAGAAUAUGGCUAAGUGACGUACCGUAAAGAAAGCCACGGCUAACUACGUGCCAGCAGCCGCGGUAAUACGUAGGAGGCAAGCGUUGUCCGGAAUUAUUGGGCGUAAAGGGCGCGCAGGCGGCCUCUUAAGUCCAUCUUAAAAGAGCGGGGCUUAACCCCGUUAUGGGAUGGAAACUGAGAAGCUGGAGUAUCGGAGAGGAAAGUGGAAUUUCUAGUGUAGCGGUGAAAUGCGUAGAGAUUAGGAAGAACACCGGUGGCGAAUGCGACUUUCUGGACGACAACUGACGCUGAGGCGCGAAAGCGUGGGGAGCAAACAGGAUUAGAUACCCUGGUAGUCCACGCCGUAAACGAUGGAUACUAGGUGUAGGAGGUAUCGACCCCUUCCGUGCCGGAGUUAACGCAAUAAGUACCCCGCCUGGGGAGUACGGCCCAGGUUGAAACUCAAAGGAAUUGACGGGGGCCCGCACAAGCGGUGGAGUAUGUGGUUUAAUUCGACGCAACGCGAAGAACCUUACCAGGUCUUGACAUUGAUCGCCAUCUUAAGAAAUUAAGAGUUUCCCUUUCGGGGAACGAGAAAAACUGGUGGUGCAC
rnacentral:rRNA from 1 species